AAUCACUGUUAAAUUGUGAAUUUCUUCAUAAUGCAGUUGGUUCUCAUUUAUACCCUCAGAAUCCAGUCCUCCGCCUUGGAAGUCAGCUCAACUUCAGUGUAGAAGAAAAUUACAAAUUAUAUGAAGAAGUUGGAGAAGGUGUCAGCGCCACUGUUCACCGGGCUCUCAGCAUUCCUUUGUGUUGACUGGGAUUUGGGAAUGUAUCCUGCUCAAAAUUGUCUUUGUUGUACAUGAACCUAUUAUGAUUAAUUGAAUACGAAUCCCUAUUCUGCAGUGUAAUGAUGUGU